UCAGUAACAUUGCCAUUAUUUCCAGAGCUCAAGAAAGAUUUAAUUAAAGAAUUACUUUCUUCACCACUGCCAACAAUGCCUUGCAUCAUAAAAGAUAUAACUACUUUAAAGUUAGUGGUGCUAGAUCAGCUGUAAGAAAAUCCAGUUACUUUUUGGCUUUGCACUCCAAGUACUUUAGCUAUUUGUUGACUUACACCACUGUAAGUUUCAUCUAAAAAUAAACCUUUCUCACUAAUACUUGGAAUGACAUCAUCUUUGCCUUUGUUAGUACCAAAUGCUUUUGUAAAGCGACUAGCAUCUAGAUUUCUUUCCAGUAUUUUUUGAUCCAUUAAGGUGUACUUUCAACCAGCAAAAAGUGAAUUAACUGUAGCUUUUGAAUCAGUACUGUAACCUUCUUUUAAAAGAUUAAUUACAUUCUUUUUGAUUAGUUCACUUUUGUGAGCAUCAAAGUAUUUUUGCGCACUACUUAAACUAGAAAUAACAUUGGUGGCAGUUGAUGAACAGGCACUUAAAGCAGUGCCGAACAAUA
rnacentral:sRNA from 1 species